GACGAACGCUGGCGGCGUGCUUAACACAUGCAAGUCGAACGGAAAGGCCCUGCUUGCAGGCUCCUCGAGUGGCGAACGGGUGGGUAACACGUGGGUGAUCUGCCCUGCACUUCUUGAUAAGCCUGGGCGACUGGGUCUAAUACCUGAUAGGAGCCAUGUUUUGUGUGAUGGUUGGAAAGUUUUUUCGGUGUAGGAUGAGCUGGCGGCCUAUCAGCUUGUUGGUGGGGUAAUGGGCUACCAAGGCGGCGACGGGUAGCCGGCCUGAGAGGGUGGACGGCGAUAUUGGGACUGAGAUACGGCCCAGAUUCCUAAGGGAGGAAGCAGUGGGGAAUAUUGCACCAUGGGCGCAAGCCUGAUGCAGCGACGCCGCGUGGGGGAUGACGGUCUUCGGGUUGUAAACUACUUUCGCUAGGGACGACGCUUUUUGUGACGGUACCUAGAUAAGAAGCACCGGCUAACUACGUG
rnacentral:rRNA from 1 species